UCAUCUCCGGGGGUAGAGCACUGUUUCGGCAAGGGGGUCAUCCCGACUUACCAACCCGAUGCAAACUGCGAAUACCGGAGAAUGUUAUCACGGGAGACACACGGCGGGUGCUAACGUCCGUCGUGAAGAGGGAAACAACCCAGACCGCCAGCUAAGGUCCCAAAGUCAUGGUUAAGUGGGAAACGAUGUGGGAAGGCCCAGACAGCCAGGAUGUUGGCUUAGAAGCAGCCAUCAUUUAAAGAAAGCGUAAUAGCUCACUGGUCGAGUCGGCCUGCGCGGAAGAUGUAACGGGGCUAAACCAUGCACCGAAGCUGCGGCAGCGACGCUGAUGCGUUGUUGGGUAGGGGAGCGUUCUGUAAGCCUGCGAAGGUGUGCUGUGAGGCAUGCUGGAGGUAUCAGAAGUGCGAAUGCUGACAUAAGUAACGAUAAAGCGGGUGAAAAGCCCGCUCGCCGGAAGACCAAGGGUUCCUGUCCAACGUUAAUCGGGGCAGGGUGAGUCGACCCCUAAGGCGAGGCCGAAAGGCGUAGUCGAUGGGAAACAGGUUAAUAUUCCUGUACUUGGUGUUACUGCGAAGGGGGGACGGAGAAGGCUAUGUUGGCCGGGCGACGGUUGUCCCGGUUUAAGCGUGUAGGCUGGUUUUCCAGGCAAAUCCGGAAAAUCAAGGCUGAGGCGUGAUGACGAGGCACUACGGUGCUGAAGCAACAAAUGCCCUGCUUCCAGGAAAAGCCUCUAAGCAUCAGGUAACAUCAAAUCGUACCCCAAACCGACACAGGUGGUCAGGUAGAGAAUACCAAGGCGCUUGAGAGAACUCGGGUGAAGGAACUAGGCAAAAUGGUGCCGUAACUUCGGGAGAAGGCACGCUGAUAUGUAGGUGAAGUCCCU
rnacentral:rRNA from 1 species